ensembl:lncRNA
GGAAUCCUGAAAAGAUCUUUAAGAGAGAGAGUGCAGAAAAGGAGCCAUGGAAGAAAGCAGGAAUGUCACAAGGGGUGUUUCAUAAAACACAUGAAAUGGCUCUCUAAGCCAUUUAGAGAUAAUGUGAAGUUUAAGGCUGGAGAGGCAGUGCCGGCUAUGGAGGGGUGGGGCUGGCCCAGGAAUAUUUGGUCUUUAGUAUAUGCCCUGACGCAGGGCAAGAUUAGGAGAAAGAUGGGCCACCACAGUUACCGAGUAAAUUCAUACAAGGCCAGCAACAUCAUCCAUUUGUUGUUGUUCAGUUGCUAAGUAACGUCCCAUUCUUUGUGACCUCAUGGACUGUAGCACACCAGGCUUCUCUGUCUUCCACUGUGUCCCCGAGUUUGCUCAAAUUCUUAUCUAUUGAGUCGGUGGUGCUAUCCAACCAUUUUAUCCUCUGCUGCCCCCUUUUCCUUUUGCCUUCAAUCUUUCCAAGCAUCAGGGUCUUUUCCAAUGAAUUGGCUCUUCGCAUCAGGCGGCCAAAGUAUUGGAGCUUCAGUUUCAGCAUCAGUCUUUAUAGCCCCAAAAUGGAAACAACCCAAAUGUCCAUCAACAAAGAUAUGGGUAACAAAACGUGAUAUAAACACACAAUGGAAUACUAUUCAGCCACGAAAAGGCUCUGAAGACUCAUUUUAACAGAAGAAACACCUGAAAUUUUCACCUGAAAGGAAAAAAAGUGUUACAUUUGCUCAGCUACGUUUUGCUUGUUCAAAAUGUAUACAAAAAUGUUCUAAAACACAGAAGUGCUUGACAUGCAUCUUUAAAUACAGGUGCACACAGCGUUCAAAAUGCUCAUGAAUCUUGAAACUUGAACCCAGAAGUUGUAAUUUGCUGAAUAGAAAUAAACACGAGUCCCCG